AUACGUAGGUGACAAGCGUUAUCCGGAUUUACUGGGCGUAAAGGGCGUGUAGGCGGUCUUGCAAGUCAGAAGUGAAAUUCCUGAGCUCAACUCGGGCGCUGCUUCUGAAACUGCAGGACUUGAGUGCUGGAGGGGAUAGCGGAAUUCCUAGUGGAGCGGUAAAAUGCGCAGAUAUUGGGAAGAACACCGGUGGCGAAGGCGACUUGCUGGGCAGCAACUGACGCUGAGGCGCGAAAGCCAGGGGAGCAAACGGGAUUAGAUACCCCGGUAGUCCUGGCCGUAAACGAUGAAUGCUAGGUGUGUGUGUAGAGAUACAUGCGUGCCGGAGUUAACGCGAUAAGCAUUCCGCCUGGGGAGUACGGUCGCAAGAUUGAAACUCAAAGGAAUUGACGGGG
rnacentral:rRNA from 1 species